GCGGCACGCCUAAUACAUGCAAGUCGAACGAGGUAGCAAUACCUAGUGGCAGACGGGUGAGUAACAUGUGGGUAUCUUCCCUAUGGUGAAGAAUAACACGAGGAAACUUGUGCUAAUACUUCAUAAGUCUUUACGGAGAAAGCUUUAUGCGCCAUUGGAUGAGCCCGCACUUGAUUAGUUAGUUGGUAGGGUAAAAGCCUACCAAGACUUUGAUCAAUAGCUGAUUUGAGAGGAUGAUCAGCCACAUUGGGACUGAGACACGGCCCAAACUCCUACGGGAGGCAGCAGUAGGGAAUCUUGCACAAUGGGGGAAACCCUGAUGCAGCGAUGCCGCGUGAGUGAAGAAGGCCUUUGGGUUGUAAAGCUCUUUCGUCGGGGAAGAAAAUGACUGUACCCGAAUAAGAAGGUCCGGC
rnacentral:rRNA from 1 species